AAUGUUAUUAUCGAGGUGAAUUGUCUGGGCGGUAGUUUUCCCCCCAACUGAAAAUUAGGCCAAGUCAAAACACACUCACAUCACAAACACACUCUGUCUCGAACAUACUCUCCCUCUCUCUUUCUCUCUCAAACACACUCUCUCGGCUCUCAGCUUUCUUCUUCGAUUCAAGCAUGGAUUCAGGCAUCGAUUAGGUACUUGAAUACACAAACACACAUGCUUUCUUCGAUUUAGUUACUAACACAUCGAGUUUUUUCUUGUAGGUAAUUAGGGUUCGUCGAUUUGGGGUUCUUCGAUCAACUGGGGAUUGAAGUUUCUGAGGGGAUUUAACUUUUUGAGGGGAUUGAAGUUUUAUACAUUUUAAGGGUUUCAUUGGGUAAAAAGCUUUGAUUAAGGUAAAAAGCUUUCAAUGGGUUUAUGUCUUUAUAUGUUUAUGUGUUUAAUUUUAAUUUUUUGUAUUUGCUCGAUUGGGUUUAUUUUGUGUUCGAUUGGGUUUAUUUUGAGUAUCAUUGGGUUGAUACAUGAUAUUUAGGUAUGGGUUUUCAGAGACUAGAUUUGAUUGUCAUGAGCUUCUUUAGUAUAUGUUUAAACCUAAUUCACUGCAUUUAUUUUGUUGAUAAAUUGAUUGUUGUUGGUCGAUUCGUGCCUAUGUGAUUAACAUUAGACUUUUGGUAUACAAGUGUGUACUUGUCAGUGGUUUACAAAGUGUUAUUGUUCAGGUUAUUAAGGUGAUAAAGAAAGCACAGAGGAUUGGGACAGGGUUAGUCCUGCUAUUCUUCUCAAAGCAGAUGGUUUUGUCUUAGUUGCAUUUCAAACAUAUAAUUCUUCGACAUUUGGAUUCCUCUUUAAUUUCUAAUUUGAUUGUGGAAGAAAGAACACGAUACAGUUUACUCCAUGUUCAUUUCAUUAGUCUCAGAGUAGUUUGAUUUGUUAUGACCGUACAGAUUCUAACAAUUUUAUGGCUACUGGAUAACCAUACAGUACAUAUGAACUUUCAAGAAUCAGCAAAAAUGAUUAUUCCAGCAAUUUUAUGGCUCCAUAUUGUAAGGAUUCCAAGGACUAGAAAUACAGUUAUGCAGUUAUGUUCAUGGUUCUCAUUAUUUAAAGAAUAAUAACCAAGGAGUCUGAUAAUUUCUUAGCUGUUCAUGCUUGCAGGCAUAUGACAUACGGUCCAGAAUACAUUUUAUCCAGAGGUAACCAAGAAUCAUUUUAAAGAUCUUGCUUACAUUUGUGUUAGUGGUGAAGGCACCAGUUUGCAAAAGUUACUUGUUUAUACAGACUCUACACGUGACGUAGCAAGCUUGAAUCAGAGGAAGAGGAAGUUGAAGAGGUUGAGGAUAAAAAAGAAGCGACACAAGAAGAACCUUAAACUAGGGAAGAUAGGCAAAAACACAGGACAUCAAGUCUGUUAGCUGGCAUAAGGCGCUUCAGUUUACAUGGAUGGUGCUCUCUCUAUUGUAUACCAUGUUAUCCACUAGUUUGUUCCACUGUCUAGUUCUUUUAUCAUAGUUUGGGCAUGUAUCGGGGUAGUUGUUGAAAUAGAUGAGAAUGAUAUGGAAAUGUAGUUUAAUAUUGUGUUGUUAGGAUUGUUGUCUCACAGAGCAUAUUUGAUAUAGGGAUUGUUGUUUAAAUGGAGCAUGUAUUUUAAAAUUUAUAUAUUAAGUGUUACAUUAGCCUCGUUUACUGUUAUAGUAUCUUAGAUUUAGUGUUACAUUAUUUCUACCUGCUGUUAUAUUAUUGUGAACUUUAGUGUUGCAAUA